rnacentral:rRNA from 1 species
GACGAACGCUGGCGGCGUGCUUAACACAUGCAAGUCGAACAGAAAGGCCCUGCUUUUGUGGGGUGCCCGAGUGGCGAACGGGUGAGUAACACGUGAGUAACCUGCCCUUGACUUUGGGAUAACUUCAGGAAACUGGGGCUAAUACCGGAUAGGAGCUCCUGCUGCAUGGUGGGGGUUGGAAAGUUUCGGCGGUUGGGGAUGGACUCGCGGCUUAUCAGCUUGUUGGUGGGGUAGUGGCUUACCAAGGCUUUGACGGGUAGCCGGCCUGAGAGGGUGACCGGCCACAUUGGGACUGAGGUACGGCCCAGACUCCUACGGGAGGCAGCAGUGGGGAAUAUUGCACAAUGGGCGGAAGCCUGAUGCAGCAACGCCGCGUGCGGGAUGACGGCCUUCGGGUUGUAAACCGCUUUCGCCUGUGACGAAGCGUGAGUGACGGUAAUGGGUAAAGAAGCACCGGCUAACUACGUG